rnacentral:rRNA from 1 species
GACGUAGGGCGCGAGCGUGUCCGGAUUUAUUGGGCGUAAAGAGCUCGUAGGCGGCUUGUUGCGUCAGCUGUGAAAACCCGCAGCUCAACUGUGGGCUUGCAGCCUGAUACGGGCGAGCUUAGAGUUCGGUAGGGGAGACUGGAAUUCCUGGUGUAGCGGUGAAAUGCGCAGAUAUCAGGAGGAACACCGGUGGCGAAGGCGGGUCUCUGGGCCGAUACUGACGCUGAGGAGCGAAAGCGUGGGGAGCGAACAGG